rnacentral:lncRNA from 1 species
CACAGACAGCCUCCUGUCCACUCUGCCAGCUGCAGGUGAAUGAGACUCAUAGGUUAGACCUAAGGUGCUGUACCAAAAAGACAUCCACGCCUCCCCUAUGACAACCGCAUGAUGCUCAAGGCGUGCAUCCUUAGGAGGCCAUGAGCAUUCUAGCCGGCGGCACCCACGUGGUCCCUGCGGCUGCACAGCUGCUGGGCUUCCAUGAGGAAGAGGGCAGUGGACAAGAGUCAUGAAGACUGAUUCAGAAACUCCCCUGCAGGAGGAGAAGACGUCUGAGCCAUCCCUGUGCCACCACCAAGAGUCACUCCAGCUUCUGAAAAAGCCACCGUGGGGGGGAGCCGCCUCCAAUUAAAGUCCUUGGUCACAUCAGAGGAAGUGUCUCUCCUCCUUCCCCCUUUGCCAGCCCUACCUCUGAGAUUCCCAAAAACAUGGAG